UACGUAGGGUGCAAGCGUUGUCCGGAAUUAUUGGGCGUAAAGAGCUCGUAGGCGGCUUGUCGCGUCGGCUGUGAAAACCUGGGGCUCAACCCCGGGCCUGCAGCCGAUACGGGCAGACUAGAGUACUGCAGGGGAGACUGGAAUUCCUGGUGUAGCGGUGGAAUGCGCAGAUAUCAGGAGGAACACCGGUGGCGAAGGCGGGUCUCUGGGCAGUAACUGACGCUGAGGAGCGAAAAGCGUGGGGAGCGAACAGG
rnacentral:rRNA from 1 species